UACGGGGGGGGCAAGCGUUGUUCGGAAUUACUGGGCGUAAAGGGCUUGUAGGUGGCCAACUAAGUCAGACGUGAAAUCCCUCGGCUUAACCGGGGAACUGCGUCUGAUACUGGAUGGCUUGAGUGUGGGAGAGGGAUGCGGAAUUCCAGGUGGAGCGGUGAAAUGCGCAGAUAUCAGGAGGAACACCCGUAGCGAAGGCGGCACUCUGGGCCGAUACUGACACUGAGGAGCGAAAGCGUGGGGAGCGAACAGG
rnacentral:rRNA from 1 species